rnacentral:rRNA from 1 species
UACGGGGGGAGCAAGCGUUGUUCGGAUUUACUGGGCGUAAAGGGCGCGUAGGCGGCGCGGGCAGUCAACGGUGAAAGCUCGGAGCUCAACUCCGAGUCGGCCGUCGAUACUCCCGUGCUUGAGCACUGUAGAGGCAGAUGGAAUUCCGGGUGUAGCGGUGGAAUGCGUAGAGAUCGGGAAGAACAUCGGUGGCGAAGGCGCUCUACUGGGCCAUAACUGACACUCAGGGACGAAAGCUAGGGGAGCGAAUGGG